rnacentral:tRNA from 1 species
AAGGGUGUGGCUCAGUGGUAGAGCACAUGCUUAGCAUGCACGAGGUCCUGGAUUCAAUCCCCAGUAUCUCCU